UGAAGCGCUUAUUUAGUGUGGAAUACUCUGGAAAGGGUAGCCGUAGUGGGUAACAGCCCCGUACACAACUGGCAAGAGGUUUUA
rnacentral:rRNA from 17 species